UGUACUCUCCUAGCCCCUGUACUCUCAUAGCCCCUGUACUCUCCUAGUCCCUGUACUUUCCUGUACUCUCCUAGCCCCUGUACUCUCCUAGUCCCUGUACUCUCCUAGUCCCUGUACUCUCCUAGUCCCUGUACUUUCCUGUACUCUCCUAGCCCCUGUACUCUCCUAGUCCCUGUACUCUCCUAGUCCCUGUACUCUCCCAGUCCCUGUACUCUCCCAGUCCCUGUACUCUCCUAGUCCCUGUACUCUCCCAGUCCCUGUACUCUCCUAGUCCCUGUACUCUCCUAGUCCCUGUACUCUCCUAGUCCCUGUACUCUCCUAGUCCCUGUACUCUCCCAGUCCCUGUACUCUCCCAGUCCCUGUACUCUCCCAGUCCCUGUACUCUCCUAGUCCCUGUACUCUCCUAGUCCCUGUACUCUCCUAGUCCCUGUACUCUCCUAGUCCCUGUACUCUCCCAGUCCCUGUACUCUCCUAGUCCCUGUACUCUCCUAGUCCCUGUACUCUCCUAGUCCCUGUACUCUCCCAGUCCCUGUACUCUCCUAGUCCCUGUACUCUCCUAGUCCCUGUACUCUCCUAGUCCCUGUACUCUCCCAGUCCCUGUACUCUCCUAGUCCCUGUACUCUCCUAGUCCCUGUACUUUCCUGUACUCUCCUAGUCCCUGUACUCUCCUAGUCCCUGUACUUUCCCAGUCCCUGUACUCUCCCAGUCCCUGUACUCUCCCAGUCCCUGUACUCUCCUAGUCCCUGUACUUUCCUAGUCCCUGUACUCUCCCAGUCCCUGUACUUUCCUUGUCAUUAUCCGUAUCAUUGCAGAAGGUAAAUUAGCAAAUUGAUUGUUGUAUUUUUAAUUACGUACAAUUACUCCGAUUCCUAGAACACCUUGUGAAGGGAAAGUCAUAAUGGUUUAAGGUAGCCUCCCUGUGCACAGAAGGGUAUGGGUCUAUGUAGUAUUAGCAGGUUUAAGGUAGCCUCCCUGUGCACAGAAGGGUAUGGGUCUAUGUAGUAUUAGCAGGUUUAAGGUAGCCUCCCUGUGCACAGAAGGGUAUGGUUCUAUGUAGUAUUAGCAGGUUUAAGGUAGCCUCCCUGUGCACAGAAGGGUAUGGGUCUAUGUAGUAUUAGCAGGUUUAAGGUAGCCUCCCUGUGCACAGAAGGGUAUGGGUCUAUGUAGUAUUAGCAGGUUUAAGGUAGCCUCCCUGUGCACAGAAGGGUAUGGGUCUAUGUAGUAUUAGCAGGUUUAAGGUAGCCUCCCUGUGCACAGAAGGGUAUGGGUCUAUGUAGUAUUAGCAGGUUUAAGGUAGCCUCCCUGUGCACAGAAGGGUAUGGGUCUAUGCAGUAUUAGCAGGUUUAAGGUAGCCUCCCUGUGCACAGAAGGGUAUGGGUCUAUGUAGUAUUAGCAGGUUUAAGGUAGCCUCCCUGUGCACAGAAGGGUAUGGGUCUAUGUAGUAUUAGCAGGUUUAAGGUAGCCUCCCUGUGCACAGAAGGGUAUGGGUCUAUGUAGUAUUAGCAGGUUUAAGGUAGCCUCCCUGUGCACAGAAGGGUAUGGGUCUAUGUAGUAUUAGCAGGUUUAAGGUAGCCUCCCUGUGCACAGAAGGGUAUGGGUCUAUGCAGUAUUAGCAGGUUUAAGGUAGCCUCCCUGUGCACAGAAGGGUAUGGGUCUAUGCAGUAUUAGCAGGUUUAAGGUAGCCUCCCUGUGCACAGAAGGGUAUGGGUCUAUGUAGUAUUAGCAGGUUUAAGGUAGCCUCCCUGUGCACAGAAGGGUAUGGGUCUAUGUAGUAUUAGCAGGUUUAAGGUAGCCUCCCUGUGCACAGAAGGGUAUGGUUCUAUGUAGUAUUAGCAGGUUUAAGGUAGCCUCCCUGUGCACAGAAGGGUAUGGGUCUAUGUAGUAUUAGCAGGUUUAAGGUAGCCUCCCUGUGCACAGAAGGGUAUGGGUCUAUGUAGUAUUAGCAGGUUUAAGGUAGCCUCCCUGUGCACAGAAGGGUAUGGGUCUAUGUAGUAUUAGCAGGUUUAAGGUAGCCUCCCUGUGCACAGAAGGGUAUGGGUCUAUGUAGUAUUAGCAGGUUUAAGGUAGCCUCCCUGUGCACAGAAGGGUAUGGGUCUAUGUAGUAUUAGCAGGUUUAAGGUAGCCUCCCUGUGCACAGAAGGGUAUGGGUCUAUGUAGUAUUAGCAGGUUUAAGGUAGCCUCCCUGUGCACAGAAGGGUCUAUGCGUCACGUGUUUGUUUCACCUUAUAACAAACAACCUGUUCAGCACUUCCUCAAUGUUUUCUCACAGAAACACAACAUGAUAGGCUUGUAAUAGACGCUCAAGGAAAUACACGUUCUGUCUGGCCUGUGUAAUGCAUUUUGUCUGGCCUGUGCAAUGCAUUCUGUCUGGCCUGUGUAAUGACUCGUCAGCCCUCCCGGUGAGCCAAACUGGUUGAAAAGACCACCAGGCUGGUCCCAGAUCUGUUUGCGCUGUCUUGCCAACUCCAUUGCUGUCAUUGUCAAUGACGGCACAAACAGAUGUCUCUCAGGCCGAUGACGUUGUUGAGUUGAACCGAAUGCUGGUUGACACCUCCACUUCACUGCUACACAAUAGUUUACUUCCACUUCCAUUGAUUUUAAGCGCAUUGAUCAAUAACUCCGAGAUGAUCAAUUGAUCGUGUAAAAACCAGCGUAGUCAAACGGAUGUAAAGGACAGUAUUGGGGAAAUACUACUUUAGGUACAAAUGUUUUAAAACUUUUAAUUUGAGCCAUUGAUUGUGUGCUGUUGAUUUUUAUGUUUUAUAUAAUUGGAGAAUGCCACAAAUGUUUGUAAUUGUAACAACAACACAAAGUUGUAUUUAAAAAUAUAGAUGUGUCUACAAUGUCUGACAGACUUUAAGAAAGUCUGUCAUUUUUCAUCUGUUGUUUUUUUUGGACAACUAAACAUGAUUGGCUGGAUUGCA